rnacentral:rRNA from 1 species
UGAGUUUGAUCAUGGCUCAGGACGAACGCUGGCGGCGUGCUUAACACAUGCAAGUGGAGCGACGAACCAGGGCUUGCCCUGGGGCAAAGCCGCGAACGGGUGAGUAACACGUGGGUAACCUGCCCCGAUGACUGGGACAACCCGAGGAAACUCGGGCUAAUACCAGAUGAGUUCAUGCCACACGAGUGACAUGAGGAAAGGAAGCUUCGGCCUCCGCAUUGGGAUGGGCCCGCGGCCCAUUAGCUUGUUGGUGAGGUAACGGCUCACCAAGGCUUCGAUGGGUAGCUGGUCUGAGAGGACGAUCAGCCACACUGGGACUGAGACACGGCCCAGACUCCUACGGGAGGCAGCAGUGGGGAAUCUUGCGCAAUGCGCGAAAGCGUGACGCAGCAACGCCGCGUGCGGGAAGACGGCCUUCGGGUUGUAAACCGCUUUCAGUUGGGACGAAGCUUCGUCGGUUAAUAGCCGGCCGGAGUGACGGUACCUUCACCAGAAGCCCCGGCUAACUACGUGCCAGCAGCCGCGGUAAUACGUAGGGGGCAAGCGUUGUCCGGAAUCAUUGGGCGUAAAGAGCGUGUAGGCGGCCCGAUAAGUCCGCUGUGAAAGUCCAGGGCUCAACCCUGGGAUGCCGGUGGAUACUGUCGGGCUCGAGUCCGGAAGAGGAGUGUGGAAUUCCUGGUGUAGCG